CCUACGGGAGGCUGCAGUGGGGAAUAUUGCACAAUGGGGGAAACCCUGAUGCAGCGACGCCGCGUGAGUGAAGAAGUAUUUCGGUAUGUAAAGCUCUAUCAGCAGGAACGAGACAAGACGGUACCUGACUAAGAAGCCCCGGCUAACUACGUGCCAGCAGCCGCGGUAAUACGUAGGGGGCAAGCGUUAUCCGGAAUCACUGGGGGUAAAGGGAGCGUAGACGGCUGUGCAAGCCUGAAGGGAAAGGUGGGGGCCUAACCCCUGUACUGCGUUGGGUACUGGAAGGCUGGAGUGUAGGAGAGGUAAGUGGAACUACGAGUGUAGCGGUGAAAUGCGUAGAUAUUAGGAAGAACACCAGUGGCGAAGGCGGCUUACUGGACUGUAACUGACGUUGAGGCUCGAAAGCGUGGGGAGCAAACAGGAUUAGAUACCCUGGUAGUC
rnacentral:rRNA from 1 species